UGAAACCCUUCGGGGUGGAUUAGCGGCGAACGGGUGAGUAACACGUGGGUAACCUGCCUCAAAGAGGGGGAUAGCCUCCCGAAAGGGAGAUUAAUACCGCAUAAUAUUAGUUUAUCGCAUGAAGAGCUAAUUAAAGGAGUAAUCCGCUUUGAGAUGGACCCGCGGCGCAUUAGCUAGUUGGUGAUUUUUUUCCUCACCAAGGCGGCAAAGAGUAGCCGACCUGAGAGGGUGAUCGGCCACAUNNNAUCNCUUCNACUGCCCAGGAUGNNUNCNNNNNCUCAUUCAG
rnacentral:misc_RNA from 1 species